UUAAAUUGAAGAGUUUGAUCAUGGCUCAGAUUGAACGCUGGCGGCAGGCCUAACACAUGCAAGUCGAACGGUAACAGGAAACAGCUUGCUGUUUCGCUGACGAGUGGCGGACGGGUGAGUAAUGUCUGGGAAACUGCCUGAUGGAGGGGGAUAACUACUGGAAACGG
rnacentral:rRNA from 2 species